rnacentral:rRNA from 1 species
GACGAACGCUGGCGGCGUGCUUAACACAUGCAAGUCGAGCGGAAAGGCCCCUUCGGGGGUACUCGAGCGGCGAACGGGUGAGUAACACGUUAGUAAUCUGCCCUUCACUUUGGGAUAACCCCCGGAAACGGGAGCUAAUACCGGAUACGACCACUCCACGCAUGUGGUGGUGGUGGAAACUUUUUUGGGUGGGGGAUGUGCUCGCGGCCUAUCAGCUUGUUGGUGGGGUAAUGGCCUACCAAGGCUUUGACGGGUAGCCGGCCUGAGAGGGUGACAGGCCACGCUGGGAAUGAGACACGGCCCAGACUCCUACGGGAGGCAGCAGUGGGGAAUAUUGGACAAUGGGCGGAAGCCUGAUCCAGCAACGACGCGUGAGGGAUGACGGCGUUCGGGUUGUAAACCUCUUUCAGCACCGACGAAGCGCAAGUGACGGGAGGUGCAGAAGAAGGACCGGCCAACUACGUGCCAGCCGCCGCAGUAAGAC